ACCCUAAAUCUGGGGGCCAUAGCAAGAGCAUUCAUGUUGUGGCCCCUGUCAGACUGCCAAAUUUGUGAAUGCUACU
rnacentral:ribozyme from 1 species